CUUUGGAGGUGCAUCUGGUACCAAGUCUGUAACUCAGGAAGCUGCAUCGAUGAAAUGUUGUAUGCCUUCUCGAUGGAAAUCUUGGGGUCCAAGCUGACGAACACACGUCGGGUCAGGAUCCUCUUCUCUGUCAAGAUGAACCCUGGUGUCUCUUGAAUCAGGAUGCCGGAGGAUGGUCCCAUCUCUGCGAUCGGGUCGGUCCG